rnacentral:lncRNA from 1 species
CCCUGCACAGAUCAUUUCCAGCCCCGGCGCCAGAGGGAUUCUGCAGGAAUGCGAAGCUGGGCAUCAGUGUGUCCUCCUUGCAAGCCUGCUUUAAAGGACAAGCCAUGUCAGAUCUGGGGUGGGGGCGGGGCCAGGAGCAGAUGGCCUGGAGACUGCAGGAACCCCAGGGGAGCAGAAUCCGGAUUUCCUUCUCUCAUGCUUCGGAAAGGCCUUCUUUGGGGGAAGUAGUGGGAGCAGCUUCAGCUGUGUAGCCAAGCAAUGGAGCCUCGCCUGGCAAAGAGGCAGACGGGGUUCCCAGGCUUCUCUUCACCAGGGCAAAGUGGUUUGCAGGACCUGGCAAACUGCCCAGAGGGAGGUGGCUGUGGAGCCAGGAGGAUCCUGUUGUGGCAUCUGCUCUGCUGGCAAGUCGGAUGCUCACACUGCUGCUCUGGCCAUGGACUGCCUGGACCACCCUCCACCAACUCUACACACCCAAGUCAGCCUCUUUUUCUUAGCUCUACCUCACUGGCCUGGCUCACUGGGAUGCACCUCUGUUGUCUAAGUCAUCUAAAUCUCCUUAGAAGUGAAGCCAGGCGUGGUAGAGUACACCUUUAAUCCCAGCACUUGGGAGGCAGAGGCAGGUGAAUUUGAGUUCAAGGCCAGCCUGGUCUACAGAGUGAGUUCCAGGACAGCCAGGGCUACACAGAGAAACCCUGUCUCGAAAAACCAAAGAAGUGAGCGGUGCUUGUGCUACACCUGCCCCCAGGCAGCUGGCACCUCUGCCCCCCACCCCAUCUGUUACAAAGAAACAAAACAAUUGUCCUCCCUCCGCCAGGACUGACCUCUUUGAGAAUGAUAAAUGAUAAAUGAUAAACAGCACUCCCCUUUCCUAUCUAAGUAUCUCAUCUUGGAACCCUGAGCAGGGUACCCUGCUUUGAGCCGAAUCUCAGCAGCUAUUGAUUGUUGUGGGAGUAAAUGCAGAGACCUGGACUAACUUACCGUGGACAAUGAGAAAUAGACUCAUUCUUCAGAGAAGCAAGGAAAUAGGAAAAGACAAUCCCCCCUCUCAGCAUACCUAUUUGUGACAGGGACAUUGCAAGCUCUGCUUCAUCCAGGCAGAAAGUGAAGCUGGAGGGAGCUAAGGAUUGAUGUUCUGGGCACAGCAGCAUGCUGGGCACUGUCCCCAGUGCUUAGCACAUGUCAUGUCCUCACAGUGACUCUCCUGCAGUGCCCUUCGUUUGUAGAUGAGGAAAUGGAGGCCCGGAGAAGUGAUGUUAGAACCUACAUUUCCAAAGCUCAUCUCAAGGUAGACUAUGAUCUCUGCACCGCACCUGAGAUGAGUGGGCCCUUUAUUUCUAUAAUUCAUCAUUUUGUGCCUCCAGCACCCCAAAUCCUCUUGAAGAGCAGAAACAAACAAAAAUUGAUUGAAUCAUUUACACCACAGGUGGCAGGACCUAGCCCCUUGUGCAGGACAGUUUUCUUCCCAACGGCACUCCCCUUUCCAUAGACCCCCACAGUUUGCCUGCUGGCCUGAGUGCUCAGUGGCCUUCUGUGUUCCCCCAAUAGGUCUCUCAAGGGCCUCUGAGUCAGCGAGGCAGCAGCAAGGGAAGAAUGCUACUGCCUCAGGCCCAUCCACAGCCAAGUAUACAGCAAGGUAGAUAUGAGAUGGGCUCACCACACAUCUACAGGGCAGCCUCCUCCUGGGAUUCCUCACACAGGAAGACAUACAACUGCACCUCUUAGCAUCCCCAACCCAAACCUCAACCCCAACCCCAACAGCUGAACUGACUCCUAGCCUUCCCUCUGAAGUUCAAGCCUGCUAGUGAGCCAGACUGCCAUGUCUGCCCCUUGUUCUUCCUUCCAACUCUCACAGCCCCCUCUCUCCAAGUCACCCGGUACCUUCCCACUGCCAUAGUGGUGAAAGGGCUUCUCUUACUCUCCACAAUGUGAUCAGAAUCUUCCUAUCUCUCCUCCUUCCUGGAAUGCUAUCAUCACUCCUCCUUUCUUGCAGCUAUUGUGAUAUAAUGGCUGUAAGGAGAAUGUGUUCCUCAUCCUACCUGCAGCACGAGGCACCAAAUGCAAGCACGUUCAACUCGAACGCUUUGCUUUCAACCACCACUUUAAAACCCCAACAGAGCCGGGCGUGGUGGCACACGCCUUUAAUCCCAGCACUCGGGAGGCAGAGGCAGGCAGAUUUCUGAGUUUGAGGCCAGCCUGGUCUACAACAGGGCUAUACAGAGAAACCCUGUCUCGAAAAACCAAAAAAAAAAAAAAAAAACCCAACAGAAGAACUACACUGGACUAAAUCUGGGAUUUGAACACAGGUCUAACCCAACCUCAAUAGCCAAGUUCUUCCAUUUAACUAGUUUUCUCUUUCUCUGCCAAAAAGAGCUCCUUGUUCCUCCAAGACUGUGCUGGGUUAUGCAUUCCACAACAGCCAGGACAGGGCCUCCAGCUCCACCUCACCCUGGCUGUUCCAGGCUCUCUCCCCACAGGGAUCUCCAGUGUGGACUCAGACACAAGGUUUUCAGAGUGGCAAUGCAAAACAUCUCUCUUUGAAAGCACUUGCGUGUAGGCUUCCCUGCUUUGGCUCGCUUAAGACAGACUUGAGUGGCCUUUUAAUAGGUUUGUUUUGUGGUUGGUUUAUUCCUCUGAUGGGGUGAGUGGAUUUCACUUAGCUGUGUAAAGAAGGAGAGGCAGUUUAUGAGCCAAGUGGAGCGGCUGGUGUCAGAUGGGCUGAAGGAUGCUGAACGUUCUCACAGGUCUCUCCACCCCCUUGAGCACCUGACGGGGGCGGCUUUGCUGCCUGGUGGCUUUUAUUUUGAUUUUCCUUCAGCCUCUCAGAAUCUGUUUAACUCACCUGGAAAGCUGCAUAAUCUUGACAAAGCUCAAGACAAAUUAAUGAGUUGAUUCUCUCUUGCUGCUGCUACUUUCUAUUAGCCAGAUGGAAGACCCAGCAGUGUACUGUGCACUCAAAGACUGGAUGUACCUGUGAUAGCUAUUCUUGGUCAUCGGCUCAACUACAUCUGGAAUUAAUUAAAACCCAAACAUCUGCAUACUCUUGUGAGGAAUUUCUUUUCUUUAUUAAAUCAUUUGAAGUGCGAAGACACAUUUUUAAUCUGGAUCUUUUGAGGGGAGAAGAUUGACCCUUAACCUGGGUCCUACCUUCUGCUGACAGCCCGUAUAAAGGGAAUGAAGAAGGAAACUUGCUCUCACUCUGGCUGGAGGACCAUUCCUUCACUGGCAUUGGAGCCUAUGCCUUUGAGACCCUGGUAUAUGCUGGUAUAUGCCUGGUAUAUCCUGGUAUAUGCCUUUGAGACCCUGGUAUAUGCUGGUAUAUGCCUGGUAUAUCCUGGUAUAUGCCUUUGAGAUCCUGGUAUAUGCUGGUAUAUGCCUGGUAUAUCCUGGUAUAUGCCUUUGAGACCCUGGUAUAUGCUGGUAUAUGCCUGGUAUAUCCUGGUAUAUGCCUUUGAGAUCCUGGUAUAUGCUGCUAUAUGCCUGGUAUAUCCUGGUAUAUGCCUUUGAGACCCUGGUAUAUGCUGAAGAACAGUGGAGACAUCCACACUCGUGGGCUGAACAACGACUGGAUUCUUGGACCUCCCAGAGACAGCCAUUGUUAGACUAGCUGGACCAUAGCCCAUAGUCAUUCUAAUAAAUCCCAUUAUACAGAAAGUAGAGAGUUAGAUUGGUGGUGAUGGUGCAAACCUUUAGUCCCAGCACUCGGAAGACAGAGGCAGAUGGAUCUCUAAGAUCUCUGGUCUAUUGAGUGAGUUCCAGGACAGCCAGGUUCUACACAGAAACCCUACUUUAAAAACAAAAACAAAAAACAAAAUUAAUCGUUUUUUAAAAGUAGAGA